rnacentral:lncRNA from 1 species
CUCCUCCUCAACUACAACUCCUCUGCCCUUGGUCCAAUGACCAUCCACUCUGAUAAAUCUCAUACAUCGAAGGGAGUGGUCAUUGUAGGUAUCAGUGUUUGAUAAUUUGCAAACAACCUCUCCCUCAAAGCUCACUCUAGACUCCCUAAAUAUCACAGUAAGAGCCAUACCAUAGGGCAAGGGAGCCUUGGAUCUGUUCACGGUCUCCCUUAUGGCAUCAAUCAUAAGAAAAGGUAGAUUUAGGAGAGACUCG